rnacentral:rRNA from 1 species
UACGUAGGGGGCGAGCGUUGUCCGGAUUUACUGGGCGUAAAGAGCGCGUAGGCGGAAAUUUAAGCGUGGCCUGAAAGCCCCCGGCUCAACCGGGGAGUGCGGCUGCGAACUGGGUUUCUUGAGGACGAUAGAGGAGAGUGGAAUUCCUGGUGUAGCGGUGAAAUGCGUAGAUAUCAGGAGGAACACCCGAGGCGAGGGCGGCUCUCUGGGUCGUACCUGACGCUGAGGCGCGAAAGCGUGGGGAGCGAACGGG